rnacentral:lncRNA from 1 species
GGUCUCCCUACCUCCCAGAAACACCAUCCUAAGUUACAGAAGCCUUCUUCCAGCACCUUUCAAACUGAUGUCACAGUCCUGAUGUGUUUGGCAGUACCACAGUCCCUUCCAUGGUUACGGUAGGUUUACAUGGGGUCUUUGCCUUUUGUGGGAUCACUGGACACAUCCACCAGAUAAACAUGGCACUAUAACAGCAGCGUCUAUGCAACUCACCAUCAAGAAAGGGAGAAGAAAGGAACCAGAGAUAGAUAUAGGAGAAAACAAUAGAAAAGAAGGAAAAAGAAGCAUCACUCUUGAGAUUUCACUCUGUAGAUUUGAUUCUCUACUGGCACCAGUGGUAAAGGAGGAGCAUGGAGAAGACAAUGAAAGCAAGAAGGAUGGAUUAUAGACUUUCUCACAGCUUUGAAGGACAGUCUCUGGUCUCUGCAGGCUUGUAGCUGGAUGCAUCCCAGAGCCCUUCGCAGUGGUUCUCGAGGGUACGCUGGGAGAGCUGGCACCAAUAAUCUGUAGGACACGUGUCUGGAAGAAGGGCUGAUUGCAAACAACCAAGCCAAUCUGUCUCAGCAGAUAACUGGAGGCCAGGAGCACCAGCCAGCUCGCAGCCAUGCAGGUUCACUGCAGUUGGUGGCACCUCCUCUAGGAGGAAAAAGGGCUAUAUAUAAAGAUAUCUAUCUACCUAUCUAUAUAUAGUUAGUAUCUAUAUAUCUAUCUAUCUGUAGAUAGAUACAGAUGGCCUCUUGGACAGGGACACCCUCACAAUUACACGUGACAAAGGUAUUUGUGAGGUGGGGAUGAUGCUAAUUAAAGUUUCUUCUCAUGUAAGAGGAAGGAACUCAACUCAGCCAACAAGAAUCUCAGAAUUAUUAAUGUUGUUGGAAAAGACCUCUGAGAUCAUCUGGUCCUACCAUCCACCUACUGCCAGCAUAGCCCACUGAACCACGUCCUUAAGUACAACACCUCCAAUGCUCCGAGCACCAGGCUCACACUGCUUCAAAUCCUGAAGCCCCUAUUCGAAAAACAAUACCCAGAGAUCACACGGUUAAGUUACUGCCACAGACUGCAUUAAAAUUCAGGUGUUCCUGAUACCCAGGACGUAUUCACUGAAUGCCUCAGCUCUUUGGCCAGCUGACAGAUCGCACCAUGCCAGGGAAAGGAGCCAACGUGACUCAUGCUCAAUCACCGCGAUGCCGACGGUACUGAGUGCUGUUUUAGGGGAGGUUAAAUGCUGUGAAUGCACUAAGCAUUAUCAAUAUUAAAAUAUUAUUAGUAUUAUUU